CGGCAUGCCUUACACAUGCAAGUCGAACGGCAGCACGGGAGCAAUCCUGGUGGCGAGUGGCGAACGGGUGAGUAAUAUAUCGGAACGUGCCCAGUCGUGGGGGAUAACGUAGCGAAAGCUACGCUAAUACCGCAUACGAUCUAUGGAUGAAAGCGGGGGAUCGCAAGACCUCGCGCGAUUGGAGCGGCCGAUAUCAGAUUAGGUAGUUGGUGAGGUAAAGGCUCACCAAGCCGACGAUCUGUAGCUGGUCUGAGAGGACGACCAGCCACACUGGAACUGAGACACGGUCCAGACUCCUACGGGAGGCAGCAGUGGGGAAUUUUGGACAAUGGACGCAAGUCUGAUCCAGCCAUUCCGCGUGCAGGAUGAAGGCCCUCGGGUUGUAAACUGCUUUUGUACGGAACGAAAAGGUUUCUCUUAAUACGAGGAGCUCAUGACGGUACCGUAAGAAUAAGCACCGGCUAACUACGUG
rnacentral:rRNA from 1 species